UACGUAGGGUGCGAGCGUUGUCCGGAAUUAUCGGGCGUAAAGAGCUCGUAGGCGGUCUGUCGCGUCGAUCGUGAAAACUUGGGGCUUAACCCUGAGCUUGCGGUCGAUACGGGCAUGACUGGAGUUCGGCAGGGGAGACUGGAAUUCCUGGUGUAGCGGUGAAAUGCGCAGAUAUCAGGAGGAACACCGGUGGCGAAGGCGGCAUCCUGGACUGGUCCUGACACUCAGGAGCGAAAGCGUGGGGAGCGAUCCGG
rnacentral:rRNA from 1 species